GGGCCCGCACAAGCGGUGGAGUAUGUGGUUUAAUUCGAUGCAACGCGAAGAACCUUACCAGGGUUUGACAUCCUGCGAAUCUCUUGGAAACGAGAGAGUGCCUUCGGGAGCGCAGUGACAGGUGGUGCAUGGCUGUCGUCAGCUCGUGUCGUGAGAUGUUGGGUUAAGUCCCGCAACGAGCGCAACCCACGUCUUUAGUUGCCAGCAUUUAGUUGGGCACUCUAGAGAGACUGCCGGUGAUAAACCGGAGGAAGGUGUGGAUGACGUCAAGUCAUCAUGCCCCUUACAUCCUGGGCCACACACGUGCUACAAUGGUGGGGACAACAGGUUGCCAACCCGCGAGGGGGAGCCAAUCCGACAAACCUAGUCGUAGUCCGGAUCGGAGUCUGCAACUCGACUCCGUGAAGUCGGAAUU
rnacentral:rRNA from 1 species